GACGAACGCUGGCGGCGUGCUUAACACAUGCAAGUCGAACGGGCCUUGUCCCCUUUUUUUUUGGGGGUGGGGUUAGUGGCGAACGGGUGAGUAACACGUGAGUAACCUGCCCCUCACUUCUGGAUAACCGCUUGAAAGGGUGGCUAAUACGGGGUGUUCUGGCCUGCUCGCAUGGGUGGGUUUGGAAAGAUUCGACCGGUUUUGGUUGUUUUGGUGGGGGAUGGGCUCGCGGCCUAUCAGCGUGUUGGUGGGGUGAUGGCCUGCCAAGGCUUUGACGGGUAGCCGGCCUGAGCGGGUGGGCGGUCACACUGGGACUGAGACACGGCCCAGACUCCUACGGGAGGCAGCAGUGGGGAAUAUUGCACAAUGGGCGCAAGCCUGAUGCAGCGACGCCGCGUGAGGGAUGGAGGCCUUCGGGUUGUGAACCUCUUUCGCCAGUGAAGAAGGUCCUGCUCUUUGUGGUGGGGUUGACGGUAGCUGGGUUAAUGAAGCGCCGGCUAACUACGUG
rnacentral:rRNA from 1 species